UACGGGGGGGGCAAGCGUUGUUCGGAAUUACUGGGCGUAAAGGGCGCGUAGGCGGCCUUCUAAGUCGAACGUGAAAUCCCCGGGCUCAACCCGGGAACUGCGUCCGAUACUGGAAGGCUUGAAUCCGGGAGAGGGAUGCGGAAUUCCAGGUGUAGCGGUGAAAUGCGUAGAUAUCUGGAGGAACACCGGUGGCGAAGGCGGCACCCUGGACCGGCAUUGACGCUGAGGCGCGAAAGCCAGGGGAGCAAACGGG
rnacentral:rRNA from 1 species